AUGCCCUGGAGGCUCCUGCUGGCCCCUCUGGACACAGACAAGCUCCCCCAGGUGCAGCUGCACACGCAGACCCUUCUGGAGCUGGACCUGCAGGACCUGUGUGUGGGGGCGGCCGAGGGUGAGGAGCUGGACGGACUGUGGAGCAGCCUCUUCGUCUUCAUCGCGCUCUUCCUGCUUAGUGUGAGCUAUGGCGCCUCCGUCACCCUCUUCAAGGUGAAGUGGGUCCUGGGCGCCGUCCUGCCGGGGCCGCCCCAGGCCACCCACGACUACGAGAACAUCGAGGACAUCGCACGGCUGCCCCUCAGUAUCAGCCUUCCAGAGCGAGCGAGAGCCGGCAGGGGCAGGGGUCUCUGCGCCACACAGCCUCGGGCAGGGCAGCUGGCCAGGGGCCUGGGCUCUUGGCCUCAGACACUCCAGCAGCCUCGAGCAGUGAGCCCCAGCAGCCCCGCACUCUUCCCACUGAGCCUCAGGAGCACCGACUCAGCUGGUCACGUGGUCAUCGGCUGCCUGGUCCAGGACUUCUUCCCGUCAGCGCCCAUGAAUGUGACCUGGGGCAGCAGCGGGCCGGGCACCUCCAUCCGGAACUUUCUCCCCGCGCCCACCUCCCGGGGCCUGUACACCAUGGUCAGCCAGCUGACCCUGCCUGCCGACCAGUGCCCAGAGGGCGCGACCCAGAGGUGCCACGUGCAGCACCACACCAGCGCCAGCCAGACCAAGGACGUGCCCUGCAAAGUUAAGACACCCACAUGCUCGAACUGCCAGCCCCGCCUGACCCUGAGCCCGCCAGCCAUCGAGGACCUGCUCCUGGGCUCCAGUGCCAACCUCACGUGCACACUGAGUGGCCUGAGAAAGCCCCAGGGUGCCAGCUUCACCUGGAACCCCACGGGUGGGAAGGAUGCCAUCCAGGAGGCCCCGCAGCGUGAUGUCUGCGGCUGCUACAGCGUGUCCAGUGUCCUGCCAGGCUGUGCCGAGCCGUGGAACCGCGGGCAGAGGUUCACCUGCACCGCCACCCACCCUGAGGCCAAGAGCCCGCUCUCCGCCACCAUCGCCAGAGCCUCAGGGAACACCUUCCCACCCCAGGUCCACCUGCUGCCGCCGCCCGCAGAGGAGCUGGCCCUCAACGAGCUGGUGACGCUGACGUGCGUGGUGCGGGGCUUCUACCCCGGCGACGUGCUGGUCCGGUGGCUGCACGAAAACCAGGAGCUGCCCCGAGAGAAGUACCAGACGUGGAGCCCCCUGCCCGAGGCCGGCCAGGGCAGCACCACGUUCGCCACGACCAGCGUGCUGCGCGUGGACACCGAGGCGUGGAAGAACGGGGACAGCUACUCCUGCAUGGUGGGCCACGAGGCCCUGCCCCUGAGCUUCACGCAGAAGACCAUCAACCGCCUGGCGGGUAAACCCACCCACGUCAACGUGUCCGUGGUCUUGUCAGAGGUGGACGGCAUCUGCUACUGAGCCGCCCGCCCGCCCGCCCCACCCUUGAAUAAACUCCGUACUCGCCCAAAGCA